rnacentral:snRNA from 1 species
GUGCUCGCUUCAGCACCACACAUACUAAAGCUGGAAUGAUACAGAGAAGAUUAGCAUGGUCCCUGUGCAAGGAUGACACAAAUUUGUGAAGCAUUCCAUAUUUUU